GGUUCAGUGAAUCGAUCACUAAGUCCACGGGACAGGGAAUUUGUGAUAAAUCCUUUGUAUAAAUAUAAUUAUAUUUCAGGAAAGAUUUAUGUCGUCUUAUGUUAUAUUGUUUUCUAGGAGUAGGGAUGUGCAGACAUUUUGUAUAUUUUUAUAUUAUUGCAGUUGGUGAAGUUUAGCAUGUUUUACUCCUCUGUUGUUGUUGAUUUCACUAUGGCUUUAUUUAAACUUGAGUUGUACACAGCAGAUGGCGAGCAGUUCUUUGACUUUUCUAGAUUUCCUAGAUAUUCUAUAUUUAGAAGAUUUAUUCCAAAGAGAUUGUGUGAAGUAAUGCAACUUACAGGUUUAUUUAAUAAAGUGAGAAUUAAAGGUCAACUAGCCAAAUUGGAAGCAUUGCUAACUGGUAUUAUUUUUCCAGUUUGACUAUUGUGUCCAUAAAAUUUCAAUUCACUUUGAAUUCCCAACAAUUCUCAUUUAAGUGAAUAACCCAGUAUUACAUAUUCAACAAAUACGUAAUGUCUAAAUGUCUACUUUGGCCUAUAUUGGUUUCUAAUUUAUGAAAAGAAACUGUUUACUGAAUAGACUAACAGGGUUAUUAACUAAACUCCCAAUUUAAAGGAUUACUUUAAAAUUUCUAAAACAUUAUUUUUUUUCUUCAGUUAUAAUGCCCUGUUGGGU